rnacentral:miRNA from 2 species
UAUUGCACACUUCCCGGCCU